rnacentral:rRNA from 1 species
UACGAAGGGGGCUAGCGUUGCUCGGAAUCACUGGGCGUAAAGCGCACGUAGGCGGCUUUCUAAGUCAGGGGUGAAAUCCUGGAGCUCAACUCCAGAACUGCCUUUGAUACUGGAGAGCUUGAGUCCGGAAGAGGUGAGUGGAACUCCGAGUGUAGAGGUGAAAUUCGUAGAUAUUCGGAAGAACACCAGUGGCGAAGGCGGCUCACUGGUGCCGGUACUGACGCUGAUGUGCGAAAGCGUGGGGAGCAAACAGG